UCAAAUUUUUCGACUUUAUAGAAGCUAGUUCAUGAAUCUAUUGUCAAUUUUCAAGAAAUCAUAAUUUAGAAACUUUUGGUACUUUUUGCAUCUUCUUGAGGAGCGAACGUUCGAAGAACCCAUGACAUGAAAGAUGUGACACAUUCUGGUUCUCGGACCCAUAAUGGAUCUGAAGAAGCCCGAUCUUGCUUGUUGAGUACUAGCCUACACUCUGCCAAAUGCCCCAUGGUUCAACCAUUUAUCACUAAAAAUAGUGCUGACCUAUGACUCAUGCCUCCCUAAAUCAUUGGCAAUGUCAGCCAGCCUGGAUAUCCUGGUAUGGAAAACAAGAUGCCAAUGGGAUUGGCUUCCUAAAGACACAGAUUUUAG